UGGGGAAUAUUGGACAAUGGGCGCAAGCCUGAUCCAGCCAUGCCGCGUGAGUGACGAAGGCCUUAGGGUUGUAAAGCUCUUUUGGCGGGGACGAUAAUGACGGUACCCGCAGAAUAAGCCCCGGCUAACUUCGUGCCAGCAGCCGCGGUAAUACGAAGGGGGCUAGCGUUGUUCGGAAUUACUGGGCGUAAAGCGCACGUAGGCGGAUUUGUUAGUCAGGGGUGAAAUCCCGGGGCUCAACCUCGGAACUGCCUUUGAUACUGCAAGUCUUGAGUCCGGAAGAGGUGAGUGGAAUUCCUAGUGUAGAGGUGAAAUUCGUAGAUAUUAGGAAGAACACCAGUGGCGAAGGCGGCUCACUGGUCCGGUACUGACGCUGAGGUGCGAAAGCGUGGGGAGCAAACAGG
rnacentral:rRNA from 1 species